CGCAAGAUUAAWACUCAAAGGAAUUGACGGGGACCCGCACAAGCGGUGGAUGAUGUGGAUUAWUUCGAUGCAACGCGAAAAACCUUACCUACCCUUGACAUGUCUGGAAAGCCGAAGAGAUUUGGCCGUGCUCGCAAGAGAACCGGAACACAGGUGCUGCAUGGCUGUCGUCAGCUCGUGUCGUGAGAUGUUGGGUUAAGUCCCGCAACGAGCGCAACCCUUGUCWUUAGUUGCUACGCAAGAGCACUCUAAUGAGACUGCCGGUGACAAACCGGAGGAAGGUGGGGAUGACGUCAAGUCCUCAUGGCCCUUAUGGGUAGGGCUUCACACGUCAUACAAUGGUCGGGACAGAGGGUCGCCAACCCGCGAGGGGGAGCCAAUCUCAGAAACCCGAUCGUAGUCCGGAUYGCAGUCUGCAWCUCGACUGCGUGAAGUCGGAAUCGCUAGUAAUCGCGGAUCAGAAUGUCGCGGUGAAUACGUUCCCGGGUCUUGUACACACCGCCCGUCACACCAUGGGAGUGGGUUUCACCAGAAKUAGGUAGCCUAACCGUAAGGAGGGCGCUUUACCACGGUGGGAUUCAUGACUGG
rnacentral:rRNA from 1 species